GAGCGACGACCAGGGCUUGCCCUGGGGCAAAGCAGCGAACGGGUGAGUAACACGUGGGUAACCUGCCCCGAUGACCGGGACAACCCGAGGAAACUCGGGCUAAUACCGGAUGUGCUCGCCGGACAUCAGUCCGGCGCGUAAAGGAAGCUUCGGCCUCCGCAUUGGGAGGGGCCCGCGGCCCAUUAGCUUGUUGGUGAGGUAACGGCUCACCAAGGCCGCGAUGGGUAGCUGGUCUGAGAGGACGAUCAGCCACACUGGGACUGAGACACGGCCCAGACUCCUACGGGAGGCAGCAGUGGGGAAUCUUGCGCAAUGCGCGAAAGCGUGACGCAGCAACGCCGCGUGGGGGAAGAAGGCCUUCGGGUUGUAAACCCCUUUCAGGAGGGACGAAGGUUCGGCGGUUAAUAGCCGUCCGGACUGACGGUACCUCCACAAGAAGCCCCGGCUAACUACGUGCCAGCAGCCGCGGUAAUACGUAGGGGGCUAGCGUUG
rnacentral:rRNA from 1 species